CUACGGUGGGCUGCAGUGAGGAAUAUUGCACAAUGGGGGGAACCCUGAUGCAGCAACGCCGCGUGGAGGAUGACGCAUUUCGGUGUGUAAACUCCUUUUAUAUGUCAAGAAAAUGACGGUAGCAUAUGAAUAAGCACCGGCUAACUCCGUGCCAGCAGCCGCGGUAAUACGGAGGGUGCAAGCGUUACUCGGAAUCACUGGGCGUAAAGGACGCGUAGGCGGGUUGGAAAGUCAGGUGUGAAAUCCUGCAGCUUAACUGUAGAACUGCACUUGAAACUUCUAAUCUAGAGUAUGGGAGGGGGAGAUGGAAUUAGUGGUGUAGGGGUAAAAUCCGUAGAUAUCACUAGGAAUACCUAAAGCGAAGGCGAUCUCCUGGAACAUUACUGACGCUAAGGCGUGAAAGCGUGGGGAGCAAACAGGAUUAGAUAACCGGGUAGUC
rnacentral:rRNA from 1 species